AAACUCUUUAGAAGAUGGCCAAACCCUGGGGACCAAGAAGAGCAGCAGUGAGUGCUCUAAACAGAUUAUUGAUUUAGAUUGCUCUUUUAAAAGACAAUUUCUAGUAGUCUUAGUUUGAUCAAUGAUAUUUCGUUUUAACUUUAUGUUCAUAAUAUUAAUUGCAGACUACAAUAGUGUAUAGGUAGAGAUAAGAAUCAUUGUGCUAGUAAGGUAAACUAUUGUAAAAAGAUCAUUCAAUUAAGAAUGAGCCUUUUGCUCAUAUUCUUUUAUAGCAUAAAAUUGGAACAAAGUUAUAUUAGGGAAGUAAAAAAAAAUAAAUACUAAUUUGAAGAGGUAUUACAGAAUUAUUUAAAGAUAACUGAAGUCUCAAAAAUUAUUGCGGGAUACUUGCUGACGUUUUGGUUAAAAUGAAAUAAAGAUGGGGAAAUGUAAAUAUAUAAACUUAAGAUUUAGUUUUCAUUAGACUUAGAAGUCCCACAAAUUGUGCCUGAUACAAUUUCUAGACUUACUAUAAUUUAUACUUCACUUACUAGUAUGUGUUUUAGCUAAAUAGAAAGACCAAAGUAAGAGCCUGAAAAAGUAUAUAUUUUAAGAAAAAGAGAAAACAAUUCAUUACUAAGCUUUUGAAGAUGUCUACAAAGUUGGUUAUUUGUGUUCUUAUAAAGUACUUGAAAAACUAUAAACUCUGAUCACACCAUUAUCAGUGUCACUAAGUUUUAAAGACAUACAUGUAGCCAGAUGUGGUGAUGCAUACCUGUAAUGUCCGUGAUGGGGAGAGUUCAAGGCCAGCUGGCUACAUAAAACCCUCUUUCUAACAAACAAACUCCACUAUUCUUUUGAAAUAAAAAGUAAGCAAAGCAGCCUGUGCUUCCCUGAGGGGUUGCCUAUCUAUGUGGCUCUCAAAAUACUCAAAAAAUUGGUACAAAGUAUGGCCUUGAGUGAAUUAUCUCUGAAAAGAGGUAGUGUUUGCUCCUGUAGCAUAUUUUUCACAGAACAGUUUUAGCAGCCUAGAUAGUCAAUAAGUACAAAAAGUACAGAUGCAUAUACAAUAUACAUAAUAGUCUCUCGAAACAGUAUAAUUCUUUAGCUUCACAUAGGAUGAUUAUUAUCUAGGAUCUUUUUCCAUCUAGCUUUGUGUCCACCUAAUUGAUAAAUACUGAUGUGGAAAGAUCAUCAAGUUUUCCUUUACAGGUGGCUAAUAAGUCAUUUGUAUCUUCUACCUUUAAACACAAUCUGUCAUCCUAUUAAGAAAAUGUAAAGUGUAUCCUUAAUUAUUUUAACUUACAGGAAUAUAGUUUAGACACACACAUAUACAGUCUUAUUUUUUAUGUCAUUCUGUCUGUCUAAAGUGUAAGUCAUUAUUUCUUACUCCAUCCUGGAACAUUCGGGAUAAAAAUCAGAAGAAAACAAUAUUCUCUUUUCCUACAGUUGUUCAACUUUAGAUUUUGUUUUUAAAUAAACACAAAACUCAACAAUACUAAUAUUACCUUGAUCUAAGUAUCCUUCGGGAAAAGAACAUUAUAUGUCUCCAAACAUAAUUGCCGUGAGAGGAAUCACAUUCCUGGCAAUUUUAAAAUUCUUUUUUUUCUGCCCAUUUUGGAAGAAUGUCUGUCUGUCAUGUCAGUAAAGCAGUCUUUGAAAAACAGCUGAAAAC
rnacentral:lncRNA from 1 species